rnacentral:rRNA from 1 species
GUGGGGAAUUUUGGACAAUGGGCGCAAGCCUGAUCCAGCAAUGUCGCGUGCAGGAAGAAGGCCUUCGGGUUGUAAACUGCUUUUGUACGGAACGAAACGGUCCUGGUUAAUACCUGGGGCUAAUGACGGUACCGUAAGAAUAAGCACCGGCUAACUACGUGCCAGCAGCCGCGGUAAUACGUAGGGUGCGAGCGUUAAUCGGAAUUACUGGGCGUAAAGCGUGCGCAGGCGGUGCUGUAAGACAGGCGUGAAAUCCCCGGGCUCAACCUGGGAAUUGCGCUUGUGACUGCAGUGCUGGAGUACGGCAGAGGGGGAUGGAAUUCCGCGUGUAGCAGUGAAAUGCGUAGAUAUGCGGAGGAACACCGAUGGCGAAGGCAGUCCCCUGGGCCUGUACUGACGCUCAUGCACGAAAGCGUGGGGAGCAAACAGGAUUAGAUACCCCGGUAGUCC